rnacentral:tRNA from 1 species
GGGGAUUUAGCUCAGUGGUAGAGCACUUGCCUAGCAAGCGCAAGGCCCUGAUUUCAGUCCCCA